rnacentral:rRNA from 1 species
UACAGAGGGUGCAAGCGUUGUUCGGAAUUAUUGGGCGUAAAGCGCGUGUAGGCGGCCUUGCAAGUCGGGUGUGAAAGCCCUCAGCUUAACUGAGGAAGUGCGCCCGAAACUGCUCGGCUUGAAUACCGGAGAGGAUGGCGGAAUUCCCCAAGUAGAGGUGAAAUUCGUAGAUAUGGGGAGGAACACCGGUGGCGAAGGCGGCCAUCUGGACGGAUAUUGACGCUGAGACGCGAAAGCGUGGGUAGCAAACAGG